rnacentral:rRNA from 1 species
GUAAGGAAUAUUGGUCAAUGGGCGGAAGCCUGAACCAGCCAUGCCGCGUGCAGGACGACGGCCCUACGGGUUGUAAACUGCUUUUGCCCGGGAAUAACCCCCCGCUCUUGAGCGGGGCUGAACGUACCGGGAGAAUAAGGAUCGGCUAACUCCGUGCCAGCAGCCGCGGUAAUACGGAGGAUCCGAGCGUUAUCCGGAUUUAUUGGGUUUAAAGGGUGCGUAGGCGGCCUGUUAAGUCAGGGGUGAAAUACGGCAGCUCAACUGUCGCAGUGCCCUUGAUACUGACGGGCUUGAAUACCGGUGAAGGCGGCGGAAUGAGACAAGUAGCGGUGAAAUGCAUAGAUAUGUCUCAGAACCCCGAUUGCGAAGGCAGCUGCCUAACCGGCGAUUGACGCUGAUGCACGAAAGCGUGGGGAUCGAACAGGAUUAGAAACCCUUGUAGUCC